CCAAAGUUCGAGGGGCUCAACAACCAGAGGGCACAAGUGAAAGGUCACUGACUCUGUAUUGAUGAUAGAUCACUGGUCGUCACAAUGCAGUCGCUGGAUUUUGCGGUGAAAGGUGAACCCCCGCUCCCCUGGGUGGACCCCGGCUGAGCCCCCACGUCGUCAACAGACAGACAUGUGGGUGUCCUGGAAGUCAGAAGUCAGAUCCUUUGUGGGACCAGGAGAGGGAGACAUUGUUCAGGUGUUGAGCAUUUUGUCAUGGAGCUUCACCUGGAAUAAACUUCUUCUCUUUUUUUCUUUCUUUGGAUGGAUGAGGUUCAGUGGAUCAGUUACUUCUGUGGUAUUUUAAGGCGUUGCCCUGUACAUUGCGCUCUUGAUAAGGGUUUGGUUGUUCAAGUUUUUCAACAGACUAUUAUAAAAAACUCUUUAAGAGUAAUGUUGUAUUGUAUAAGUUAUAUUUACUGCAAUGUGGGAGUGUUUUGAAUAAUAAAAUAAUAAUCCGGG
ensembl:lncRNA